AAAUUUCAUAUGAUAAUAUUAUAAUUAUAUUAUUUGUAAAUUUAAUUUUUAAAUAUAUAGGAACAAAUUUCCCGUGUGAAAUUCAACUUUCGCCCCUGCUACCAAAUCUAUAGUAUUUAAUUACAUAUUUAAAAAUAUAUAAACGAUUCUUUCACGCAACACUGAUAAUUCGUUUAUUUCAUUCUUACAAAAUAUGUCAUGUUAAAUGGUAAUUUAAUUAAUUUGCCAAUUGUAAGAAUUUUUAUUACAAUAUUAAUUCUAAUUGAAGGAACAUUGAGCAAAGGAGCACCAAAAAUUCAAUAUAUCUAACCUGUACACUCUGCGUAAGAUUCUUUUCGAAACCAAUAAGUAGCUGACCAAGACCUUCGGCCCGUUACAAUUCACGGAUUUCUAAGAGUGCGGACCUUGAGAACCGCUACAGUUAAAAUACAAGCUGUCAGAGAGCGCGAAGAAAAGGCACGGUGGAAAAUGAGCGAGAGAAGGCGUAGUAGAAAGGCAUGGAAGAAGGGGCCAAGAAGCAGGCGAUUCACGUUGGCCAGGGAAGGGAACUUCGUAGACUUCUCAGUCAGAGAAGCUCCGCGAGCCACGGCACACCUGGUCAUCGACGCGUGAACGCGAAUGUUGCGCGUGUUCCGUGUGUUGCGUUCGUCAGUGACCGGUAAAACGGUGAACAAUCGAAGCAAAAUCGCGUUUUCGAGUUUGCAGUCACUUCACAUUACCUAACAUCGGAAUACUAUUCUCCUUACAACCAGUCUGCCGACAACAUACAGUGCACCCAGCGACUGCAUUCCAAUCUGCUCAGACCUUUAACAGUCCAAGAAUAUACAGCGUUGUUCAAAUAUUUCGCUCGCCUAUUAUUUUCAAAGGAUUUUCGUUAGCAAGAAAACGACAGAGAAAAAUGUGAGAAAUAUCAAGGAUCGUCAGAAUUAAACUUACGCAUGCGAGUAGCAUUGAAAAGUUUUACCACUUUAAGCCAUAAAAUGUACUGAGGAUUAUUGUAUUGGCAGCUAAGUGAUUGCAGAUUUUGUGAAUGCCAUCUAAUGACAAAAUCCGCAAUCACUUAGUUGCCAACCGAAUAUUAAUGUAAAGUGUUCAAAUUUAUCAAAGUAUUUGAUAAUUUAAUUAAAAUGAAGAAACAAUUGAACGAUUUUUAAGUCACAAUCUUUUAGAAAAGGAAUCUUUAAAAUAUUUCAAUAUUGAGUAUUGAUACGAAACUUUUGAGCAAUAGUUUGGCUGACGGGAAAAGCUGAUGGCUAUUGUAAUCUUAUUGGGUUGGCAACUAAGUGGAUUUUGUCAAUGCCAUCUAAUGGCAACAUCCGAAACCACUUAGUUGCCAACUCAGUAUGUUUAAUGUGUUUCGUUUCUUAAAUCCUAGUUUCCCGCGUGCCCUUCUAAGGCUUUGCGAUUUCGCCAACUGUCGCUGCUGCAUCCUUGACAGUAAAUGUAAACCUAAGCUUGUAGUUGAUAGGUCUUUGGGAAGAUUGUAGUUCGCGGUGUAGCAGUUUCUGCUCGCGUCCUGCUUCAGUAUCGUACUUGCAUUUCAUCUUGUUUUGUGUUUCGCAAACUAAUAUAUGAUACUGUUUGUUGAAGUUAGCCAUCGCGAAAUUUAGCUGGCUGUGUUCAUACUCGAUGGAAGAUUCUCGUGGAAACGGGAACAUAUUGUUUCGCAUUCGCUUCGCUCAUACGUAUCUCUUAUCAUGAAAUCUCACUUUAUCCUUGAUCUUCCGUAAACUGUUUGCUUGUGAGAAAAAUAAUUAUGAUUUGUUACGACAAUACGUUUUUAUCCCAGCAAUAUUAAUAUUAAUACUAUUGCAUAUAUUGGCAACUAAGUGAUUGCGGUAUCAUUAAGUGGUAUUGACAAAAUCCGUAAUCGCAUGGUUGCCAACUGUAUUAUAUCAUUUGGUGUAUGACUAGUAGACAAGUUACAUAGAUUGAAACGUAGAGAAAGAUGAUGAUGUUACAUGAUGUGGCAAUGAGUCAUUUGUUUUUUUCGGUAUUGAAGAUGAAUAGUGUGCCAGGAUAAUGAAACCUGAAAGUAUAGAAAAUGCGCAAUUGAUCAGUUUGUUUUGUAAAACGAUCGUACGUAAUAAAUCAUUGUUAAUAAAUUGUUUGCUAUCAAUACAACAUACUAUAGCAAUAAAGCAAAAUAACAGUAAUAGUGAACGCGAUAAGAUUUAAACGUUAUAAAUAUAUGGACAUUUUAAUUCAUGUGUACAUUCUAAUUUAAACAACGAUGACGAGGUCAGCAAUAGGAAGUUGACAGUCUAGUGAACAUUGUUGAUCAAAUGUUGCAAAGAAUGUCACAAUGUCUAUUUAUUUAUCGUCCAUUCCUGCUCGUAUUUUGUGUUACGAUGUUAGUGUGUACAUUUAGUCACGUGUUGAAUUUUACGAGCAAUAUGAAAUAAUAUUAUUGUUUAUUGAAAAACAACUUUGCCUGUCAAGGUUUUUCGUUACGAUGCUUACGAGUUGAAUGUAUAUGAAACAGGAGAAAUUCUACGAUAUAUUAUUCGAUUAAUGUUUCUGUAUCGAAUUACGCUCGACAAUAUAUUGCAAAGCUAUCCACAAAGUAUCGUAACGACUAUCGAUAUGAAAUAUGGUUUAUCGCUUUCCACGUACAAUCGGCUUCUCUUGCAGAACGUUUUAUAUUUACGACCUUUGUUUAUGACGAUAAAUCGUACAUGGAUAGUCAUGAAUUUUUGACAGCUUUGAUAAGAUGAUCGCGAUAAAAGUGUAUCUAUCGUUUCAGAAAUAAAUAUGAAAUUGGCUGAGAAAUAUUUGCGAAUACAAUUACGUGUCUGCUUUUGAUUUAUUCCAUUGAUAUUAUAGCAACGAAGAACGUCGUAUUCGCUUGUUAUCAUAACACGUGAUUUCCACAAGUUUAUCAAUUGAUUAGGAUCGAUGAAUAAUUUCAAAAUCAAACUUUAAAAAAUUGUAAAAAUAAAAUAAAUUCACACCUUAGAAACGAUCAAAAUAUUGUCAGAAGUCUAUCGAUUUGGUACAGGAGACCGUCAACAAACCUAACCUAUUAGGUUGGCAACUAAGUGAUUGCAGGUUUCGUCAUUAGCUGUGGUAUUGACGAAAUCUGCAAUUACUUAGUUGCCAACCUAAUAAAUCAUAAAUUAUAAAUUAGUUGCCAACCUAAUAAAUCAUAAAUUAAACUUCUAGAAUUAUUAGAAAAGAUUCCUCGAAAUUUCCAGUCGAUCUGACUACCAAAUUCCAAUUUUUAAAGUAUUAAGCAAAUUCUCAUAAAUCUAAAAUCAUAAUUCAACAUGGAGGGUUACUGAAAAAUUUAAUCCAAACUUGAAGUGUCGCAUGGAAAAUUUGCGAAAAUUUCUCGUGGAUCCUUAGUGCAUUCGUAAUGAAGAUCUGACAGAAAUCUUGAAUCGAUUUGGUAUCCAACAUCGCUGUUUGAUUUCGUUUAAAAUUCUUCCGUGAUCGUCAUAAAAAUCCGAAAACAGAGCAAUCCUGUUCGCUGAAGCGGUGAUCCGGAGGAUCGAUGGCUAGUGCACGUCGAGAGCAACUUAUUGAAAACGGUUCGUCGCACCUGACGCCUCCGCCAUUACUGGCCAGGUUUCAUCCUGGCGACCGCUUACUCCGGAAACGUAGCUCGUGGGACACAGUGGCCUCGUGUUUCAUGGAGAAACGGAACAUAUUGCCGGAUCAUCAAUCCUGGCUGCACUGGAAAUUUUAUAUCGUUCCACCGGGAUGCUCUUACUUGACGUGUCCUGAGUAGUUUCUUAUUUACUUGGUCCGCAAUAUUUCCUAAAAUAUUCUGUCUGGAAGAUCGUCGUUGACUCUUGUUCGUUUAAAAUCUUUCCAAAAUGAUUCUUCGGAAUAUCAAUCAUUGAGCAUUUCUCUCGGUGGUUUAGGAUAUUUCUACGAUUAUUCGAGACUUGGGACAGUGAGAAAUGGGAUGGAAAUAUUUCCAAGAUGGCUCUCCAAAAUGUAGAUCAUUGAGAAUUUUCCUCGUUGGUUGGCAAUAUUUCUAUCGUAUUAUUUUUUGAGACAUGGAUCAAUGGGAAAUAAGAAGAUAUUUUCAAAAUGAUUCUUCAGAAUGUAAAUCAUUGAGAUCAAGAUUUAAAUCAGUGAAAAAUGAGCAGAUAUUUUUCCCCAUAAAUCUAGAAUAUUUCUACAAUGUUUCUUUGCAUUUGGACUAGAGAGUAUUUUAAAAAAAAAAUCCUUCUUACAGGAGCAAUAUAAAGAGAUUUUAUUAUUCCAUCUUGGUGGAUGUGUGAAUACAAUGAAACUAUGAAACGAGGAUUUUCCACUCGACAAAGUAGCCCAGUAGAGUAGAUUGUCAUGCAAGGAUAAUCAAAUUUUACGAUUAUAGAGCUGAAAGAAGUAAUAUACCUUCAAAUUGAGGAUGAAAAUCUGAACUCAUAGGUCAACGUAUCGCAUAAAAGUGGUAGAAAGAACAUUGCUAGGAUCGUUAAUUAAAUAUUCUAAUCGUAAAAAUAAAUUAUUUCAAUUGUAUUACAAUCCUCUUUCUUCUCAUUUUCCAUCACAUUUAGAAUUUAUUAUUCAUAACCAAACUAUGUAAUACCACAGUAUAUAGUCGAAACGAGCACCAUGCACCACACAUUAAUUCUACUCAAAUAACUCAUGUAAAAUUCUACCAAUUUCCAUUUUCUCCAAAAAUAAACCAACUAUUUUUCAUUACUAUUAAAUCUACAAUUCACUAUCCAUAACCAAAUUGUGUAAUGUUACGGUAUAAAUUGGAUAAAACCAACACAUACAAAAUGUUCACACACAUACUCAUGUUCUCCAAUUUUUCCCAAAGUAAUCCAACCAUUUUCCAAUUCCAUCACAGUAAUUACUAGCUAUUACCUUUUUUUUAUAUUUAUUUAUAUUACUAUUAGUUACUAAAUUAAAUUAGUAAUCGCUAUCAAGCGCCAUCUUUAACUCUUGCCUUGUACCUCCAAACAAGUUUUUUCCGCUAAACCUGUCAAAAUUCUAUUUUCUAUUGGAUUGGCAACUAAGUGAUUGCGGGUUUUGUCAAUACCACCUAAUGACAAAAUCCGCAAUCACUUAGUUGCCAAGUACAGCGUUCGCGUUUUCUUCGUGUCUUCGUAUUAUGCAAACGUACGGAGGAACGUUGCAGCCAGACAAGUGUGGUUAAUAAUAUGUCUGUUAAUAAUAUGGGAGACGUUAGUUCCGUUCACUUAGCCGGCACGCUGGCCAACAUUAAGGAUUUUCAGUCGCGGACAAGCUCGAUAGAUUCGGUGUUUAUUCGACAGGAAGUUGCCACGACUGCUCCUAACCUUGCUUAGUAUGACUUGAUUAUGGAUCAAUGCCAAUUGUGCUAGCAAAAGCAAAGAAAUUCGGAAAUGAUUGUGCAGUGGUUGAUUAUACAGUGAAGUGGAAGUUGAAGUGGAAUUGGUAUUUGAUUUGGAAAGUUGGAUCAUAUUUCCAAUCGAAGCUCGUUUUCAAUUUUGCAGUUUCCUGUCUCAUGCGAAUUUGAUAGUAAUAAUAGAAACGUGCUGAUGAGAUGUGUUUAAUUAAUUACCUUUUUUCAUGGUUAUUAAGGUUUUCAUGAUUCGUGAUUAUUAAUUUCAUUCUGAUAAUCCGUUCCGUUUCUAUCAUUUGCGUAGCAUCACGUGAAAUUUGUUGAAAUUAGAUGUCUCGAUACGAAACUCGAAUUUCGUCUGUCAAAUUGUGGCUACCAAAGUUUUCUAUAAAAUAAGGGGAAAAAAUAGAAAAAAAAACCUUUGUUUAAAAAAUUUCUAUAAUCAAUUUACAAUUUACAAGGUUUGAGUACAAGUUUAGGUACAAUUUACAUUCUACUGGAGUCUGUAUUAUGCACAAAAUUCAUCAGCUGUUGCCUUAACAUUGGAGAAAAAGCAGAAACUUACAACUUGGAAAAAUUUGCAAAGUGACUAUGAGUUACAAGCUCAGCAAAAUGCUUGUUUGUCGUGUAUCAAACGUUGAAAAAACUAACAAAUUAUUACUUGGAAUAAGUUGUAGAAUAACAUUCAUCAGUUACGUAUACUAAGUCGUUUAUAUGCAAUACUUAUCAAUAGUGGCUUAAAACUUCGAAAAAUCAUUGCCUCGACAAGUUUUUCAAAUAACGUACACGAUAUAUCUAAAUGAAAAAUAGCUGUAAUCAACAGGAACUUUUUAUCUUCAAUUUUUAUUAUUAUCAUUCCUUAUUAUACAGCUGAAUGUAUUUUUAUUAACAGAGCGAAGUUUCUAGAACAAACUAAAGCUAAAAAGUUAAUUUUCAAUUUUCAAUCGGCCAAUUUUAAUAUAACCAGACUUUCUUGUUAUCUGAUAUCGUUGUUAACUAAUUUCACUAAUAAUAUUCAUUUUAUCGACUUCUGAAUUUUAUUUCAAUGAUAUCAAAUUUUUCUAAUCGUAUAAAAGUAUUACCAAAUGAUACAAAAUUUAUUAUAGUCGAAUUCAAUGAAUUAUAUAAUUGCAAUAAUAAAUACAGAAGUUCAGAAACAAUUUUUCUAGCCACUCUAACUACACGGUGCUAUUAAAAUAAUUGUACGUUCGUCAUUGUGCACGAUGAGCGUUCGUGGUCACGGAGGAAACAUAUGGAGACAGAAGUUAUUCGAGGGGCGCAGCUGACUUGACUACAAAUAUCGUGGCUGGUGUUGCAGAAACUCGAUAUGAACGGUGCCGCUCGCCCUUGUGCCAAUAAACUGUAUUGCAGCUCGUAUCUCGCCGCUAGAGCCAUUAGCUUGUCGAAUCCUAAUGCCGAUUGUGAUUAUUACGAUCUGCCAAUCGCCUAUUUCAAAUGCGACUCGCGAUCUUUAACGUUUUACGUUUCCGGUCUCUGGUUAUCUCGCUCAGAAUCUUUCUCGGUUUGCGCAUUUGGUCUACGAUGGAGAACUUAGUGGAGUUAAAUUUAAGUUCGUCUAUGAGACGUGAAAUUUUCCAAAGAUUUCCCUCAUUCAGAAAAGAUAUAGCAAGGUUAUUGGUUUACAGAAGAUUUCUAAAAUUGGUGUCUACAGAGUAUGAAUUAAUUUGUCACUGUCAAUUAAAUUGUUAAUAUUUUGCAUGUGAUCGUUUAUUUAUUUAGGAUUUUUCAGUAUCUGUCACCAGUGUUCCAUAGUAACUCGUCUCACCUGCUUUCUUAUCCCCUGAAAGCAUUCAUUUUAUCUGAGGGCCUCAAAGCUCGUAUCUUCCAACGCUCAAAUUAGCCAUGUCACAUUUAAGGCGUUGACUUUCACGGGAAUUUUAUAUAUUGGGUUGGCAACUUUGUCGAUAGGCGGUAUUGACGGAAUCCGCAAUCAGUUAGUUGCCAACCCAAUAUAUAUAAAAUUCCCACUCCUGUACAGUCUGUUGUAUUGGCAACUAAGUGAUUGCGGAUUUUGUCAAUAAGUGGUAUUGCCAACCCAAUAUUUUGUCGUAAUGGGUUAAAAUAUACUACAUGAUAACAUUUUAUUUUUGCAAAAUAUUGUGUAUAUAUAUAUUUGAGCGCUAUUUCUCUGAGAGUGUUAUCUGAUUCACGCAUAUUGUAAAAAAUUUAAUUCAUGCAAUUUGUCUCGUUUUAAAGACACUCGCGGCCAAGAAAUACCACUCGGUUUGCAAUUUUUCUAAUCACAUCCUUCCUGGUCCGAUCUUAUCACUCAUCCUUCCGUGCUAUACUCUUUAUGCUACUCUUAAUCUGGUUACUGCACACUAAUUGUCUACGUUACAAGCCGCUGCUACUCCAAGACUAUUAUAUCCGCCAACGACCCUGUCGCUAAUUGUCUGCUUGUUGCACCUUUUAAUCUCUGGUAUCUUCUCUUUUCUUUAUCUUUUUAAUCACAUCUUCCUUAACGAUUCCUUCACCAGUUCCGAUCUUCUAUCUCUUAAAAUACUUCUCUACGCUUGUGUUUAGCCUGCCUACUCCUGUGCAGUCCGUUGUAUUGGGUUGGCAACUAAGUGACUGCGGAUUUUGCCAGUACCGCCUAAUGACAAAAUCCGCAAUCACUUAAUUGCCAAUACAAUAGACUGUACAGGAGUACUGACUACUAGAAAUGUAGAGCAACUGACGUUGUCAAAAUUUAAUCCAUGAGGUUUAUCUUGCUUGAAUCGUGUCAAAGGUCCUGGUAACGUGGGUCACUGAGCCAUCGCGGCAGUGAACGUGUUAGAAAAUCUUUCUCAAACGAAUCUCAGUUAGUCAGAUGAAUUCACCUCGAAAACGUCGAUCGGUGUUUCCGCUCGCUUUAGAAUGAUGCCGAGUGUUUACACGAGGUGAGCAACGGAAAUGGCGAGGCUGUGCAAGUGAACAUAAACGCGGUGUUUCGUGCUGCACCACAUUUCUCACGCAUCUGGCCAGAAUCCCGUUUGGAUUACGUCGUAGAAGGAGGUGGAACGCGCAGCAACCAAGAAAGGGGUUGGGCUGGUCUUUUCACAGGAAAUUGUGGUUCUGUGAAUGCCGUUUGGAUUACUCAAGAGCGUCCAACCGAUGCCUGAUUUCGGGAAUCAGCGCCAGGCAGCCCCGGAUCCUCGCAUCAUCCUCGUUUGAGAACACCUCAGGCAUGAAGGAGCGCGAGAUGAAACUCUUUGGCUGCCGAUGGUCCUUUUGGAAUUUCGCGACUAAUCUCGCAGGUUCGUCAUCCGGGUAUUAUUGAACAAACGAACGUCACACAGCAAAUACUAUUCGUCUCUCUCUCUCUCUCUUUCUCUCUCUCUCUCUCUCUCUCUCUCUCUCUCUCUCUCUCUCUCUCUCUCUGUCUUUUAUUUGCCCUCGCGCGUUUUCUUCCCUGAUCAUCUGAUCAUCGGCUAAUGCUGAAACAACGAGAAGACAGGGGAAAUCGGACGAGAAUUACGAAACCACUGCGGGACCCGCAUUCUCAAGUCUCCGUAGAAACAUUUUUAUUGUCAGAACUUUUUAAAUUUAACUUUGAAAUGGCUAGUUUCUUGGUAAACGGAGCUAUAUCUGUGUAAGAUGUACAAGAUAUACUUGGAGGUGUGUAGUGAAUGGGAGGAUGCUUUUGUAGAAUAACAAGACCAAGUCGAUGGAGAUGACGCGGAGCUAAUUGUCGAUCGUUUGCCUGGUUUCAGUUUCAGAUGAUGUUUCGUAGAUUCGCAGCGAUUGGGAAAUUCCGUGUUGCUCUUUCAGUGUUGAAGUUAUCGUUACGUUAUCGUUGAUUCCCGCUCUUAGAUGGAAUUGUUUCAUUUAAAAAUAGCUGGUAUUUCGAUUGUGCAUAAUAUUGAUCCUUCGUACUUGUGUCUUCUUUGUCUUUAUUCCGCAAUGAAGCAUUUUCCUCCGUUUCACCUUUGUAGUAUCAAAUUGUGUAUCGUCAGAUGAUGCGAAAUUUAAUGUACUUGCAUCUAAUUAAUUAGUAGAUACGUAAAUGUUAUAGUAAAUAUAAUAGUGCACCUAUAGCUGUAGCUACGAUAGGUUUAUUAAAUCGAGAAAUGUGGAACCUCUAUCUCAGUGAACGUGAACCAGAAUCCACGACGACUGAUCAUAGACCAAUGCUGAAACAGCGAGAAGAUAGUGGAAAUCAGAUGAAAAUUACGAAACCACUGCGGGACCCGCAUUCUCAAGUCUCCGCAGAAACAUUCUCAUUGUCAGAACUCUUUAAAUUUAAAUCGCUCAUGAUCCUCGUAGAUAGCAAAUUACAUAGCCGGACAUCUGGCUACCUUCUUUUACCAACGAGCAAAGAUUUCGCCAAAAUUGGACACGCGCCGUUCUACGUAGCAAUCUGCUGAUUGUAAAUUCGACCGUGAAACGUCUUCACUGGGCGUUAGGAAACGUCGAAUGGAGUUUUCGUAUCGAUAUGGAAGGAAUCGACGAACGAAACGAGGCCAUUGUUGAUUUGACCCAGUUUCCCCUAGAAAUUUUCUAGCUUCUCAUGGCGAUUCGUCUGGGCUAGGGAACUUUUGGUAGAAAUUGAAACGAAGAAAUUACUAUAAUCUGAGAUGUAACUGAGAUGUAAUCUGAUAUACGUGUCAGAUUCAGAAUGGAUGUUGUGUUUAAAAUUAAUCGCCAGAGUAAGUGGUAUUGCGCUCCUUUGACGACAGACCAAAAAUUAUUUGGUUGGCAACUCGAAAAUUGUCGCUGGUGUAGAUAUCCAACUGUGAAGCGCAAUAAUAACCGUUUGCUGAAUUAUUUGAAGUGGUGAAUUGCGGAUCUCACUUUUUGCGAUUUUUAUAACAUUCGGUCAUCAGGUUUACGUAUAGCAUCUGUAGGUGCUAUAGUUGCUUGUUUUUCGAUUGCUCUGCGAUGAAGUAACAGCCCGUCAUGAUUUGAAGGUUAUCCGUACUAUCAGUAAUCAUCAGCUGCUAAGUGAAUUCAUUGAUCUUGCGACUAUUGUGUACGAACGUUUGCUUCAUCGUAGUUGGGCAACAACGUUACCGCAAAUUGGCUCAGUUGCAUCAUUGUUCUUGAUGAUGGAACGUGCUUGUCAUCUGUUCAGACGCACCUCAUCGCUGCUAGUUAUCCUGCGGCGAUUUCCAUCUCGAUUUUCUUCGAUUUCGCGCAAAUUAUUUCUAUUUCUUGUGUAUAGGUUAUAUUGGGUCUGGGUUAUAUUGGGUUGGCAACUAAGUGAUUGUGGAAUUUGUCAGUGCCACCUAAUGACAAAAUCAACAACCACUUAGUUACCAACCCAAUAUGUCUUCUUCGGUUGGUUACAGAAAGUAUAGUAUUUUGUGUGUAAUUUGAGUGAUAUCGAAGGACGAGUAGCUUUUAAAGAAUAUGUUUCUUAUAUCAUUUUCCUGAGUCUCUUCGAAGGUCGUUGAUGUCUUUUCCUUGCGUGAUGCAGCUGACAUUAAGAUGCAAAAUUAUACGAUCUCGAAAUAAUUUUCAAAAAUAACAAAGAAUCUUUUCUGGCUUAUAAUUUCAUUGUAAAAUUUUCGCUUAUAACACACGCGCACAAACAAUGGCGACACUGUAAAUUUGGCUAAUGCUUUGUACGAAUUUCUGUAUAAAUAUAACAACAUUCUACGUGAAUUUUAGAUUAAGUAUGAAAUUAAAAGUACUUAGAAUUGUUUACAACAUCCCUUCAAUGACGUUAUAUCUUUUUAACUAGCCUUUUCCAACAUAUUGAAGUUCGGAAAAAUCAAAGUCACCGACCAAUUUGUGAAAUAUUUGGUUGGCAAGUAAGUGAUUGCGGUUUUUGUCAAUGCCACCUAGUGACAAAAUCCGCAAUCACUUAGUUGCCAACCUAAUAUUAGCAAAAUUUGUCAAAGUCGGAUGACACGACAAUAUUUGUCAACCCAAAGUUUCCUCGAGAGUUAACGUUUCUAUUAGUAUUAAUAAAUAUAGUAUUAAGAGUUAAACGUUAUGGCGUAACAUAUUUUAAUCUAAUGCAGUUUUCAGGAAAGCUACUAAAAAUUCACGUAUUCACCUUCUCAUGUUGAAAUUUAAUAUCCCCGGAAGAGGGCGUCCUUUGUACAUUGAUCACGUGAUCCUUCAUUCUCCUCGUAUAAUUUCCCUCUUUCCUUCUCGAUCCUCUAAUUUCCUCUAAUCUGUUCCACUUUAACCCUGCACGCGUAUCAUCACCCAGCCAGAUCCAUUCAAAAGUUAAAUGAACUCGUUUACAGAAUUUUAUCUUGGCCGUGCGCGUUUCGGUAACAUUUAUCCCGAACAUAACCAAAUUUAUUCCCUUUGUUUCCUUCUCUGGUCGGAUGUGAUUUCAAGCCAACAGCCAGUCGCGUUCUCCUUUCACUCUGCUUCUCCUCCCUUCUGUCUCUUUUAUCUCGUUUCUCCCUAUCCUUUUCUCAUUCCAACCGAUCGUCUCGUCGUCAACGUGCCAUUGAUCGAGAGAGACCGAGGUAAUAUCCGUUUGAGGAAUCAGCACGGAAGCUCCGCCAGUAUCUCUGCUUCCGGUGCAGACGUUCGAUCCCCUUUGAUCGCGCAUUCUUUUUGCCCCGCCGUCUGUUUAUUUAUUAACCGAACGGAUGAAGGCUCUUCGCCUGGUGUCAUAUCUCCUUUCCAACUUCCUCUUUCGCAUCCAAGCAAAUAGGAAGCGAGAGAAUGUGUUCUCGUGUGGUUCGAGGAUGUGCUUCGGUGAAAUGUUACUUUUGUAACGCGUGCGUGCGCGUUAGUAGACUGUGCUUGUGGUUAGGUUAGGUUGUUUCGAUUGAAUUUGAAAUUGAAAAGUGAUUUAUGGUUUUUUUCGUAGAUGUUUGAAGGGAAAGAGUAGUACUGUGCCUGUUCGCGUAGCGUUGUGUGUUUGUGAAAUGUCUAGAGUUCAUGGAUUUUAGUUUUAGAUCUUUGAAAGCUGUUUAACCUUUUACACUGCUAUGUGGAGUGUGACUUUUGACAUCAGUUUUUAUCUCAGCAGCUCCUUUGUCGAGUUCCACUCGACAUUCUUUCAUGUUCCACUUUUUUUUGUGAUUGUUUCAAAAUAUAUCAUAACUUAAAAACUAGAAAAUACAACAAUAGUGCGAAUAAAAUUGGUAUUUAAGUGAAUUUCUUUCUUCUUUUAUUUAUUUAAAUUGUCUUACUCUUUGGUUAAAGUAGAUUUCAAAUAGAACACAUAAAAGCGUUAACAGCUACUGGUAAUGAAAUAGAAAUAAAAUUCGCAGUGCAAAGGGUUAAAGGAAGAAUAUUGUAAAAAGAUACGGUUUUUCAGGCAGUUCUAUUACGCUUUCCAAGGAAUUCUGUAAAUACAGCAAAUUAAAUUUAAAAGAUACUGUUUGCCACGCUAUUAUCUUUCUCUGCUUUUCAAUGUAUGCGAUUGAUCGCUGUAGCUUCUCAACAGCUAUCAUUUCAGUAUAUUAUAGUUUUUUAAUGCUGAGAAAAAAUGUUGAAAAAUUGUUUAUUUAAAAUGCUGGAACAGGUGACAAGAAUACGUCGUAGGUAUUUUAGUGGAUCUGUGAAAGCGAAAUAAUAGUGAAAUUAGGAGGGCUGGCAUUUUUAUUCGAACGUAAAUACUAGCUAAUUCACGAGAACAAUUACGAACCUGUCCCUGGGUCAGUCGUAACCCACCACCCAUUAACGUGGAUAAUUUCAUUACUGCUGGCUGCACGAUCUACAAUUAUGAGCCGGUCUUUUGCUUUCGUGCGCGAUUCCAUAGUCGUUGUUAAAUACAUUGGCGUAGUUCUCGUAUUCUCGUAUUCUCUCUGGUGCGAUUUAAAUCGAAAAGAAAUGAACAAUUGCUAUUGGCUAGUUAUCGAGCAUGUUACGCGGAAUUAUGUAACGUGUGAAACCUGUCAGAAAAUGUAAAUGUAUAUGUUUCUGUCUAUAGUUAUAAUUAGCUGGCACAAGUGGCACAGAUAUGAAUUUUACGCGUUUCGUAAAAUUACGAUAUUACAAAAUGUGAACGUAGAAAAGUACGUUGUUCGAGGUAUGCAUUUGUCGUUUUCAUCGAACGUUCUCUUCUGCUGAAUAAUCGAAUGAUGUUAAUGAAAAACGUUUAAUAACGUAAAAUGUAAAUUGCAAGCUCGAAGGAAGCUUGUCCCUAGAAUUGCACUGUGUUUCGUCGAAUUGCAAACGUUUCGUUUCUCUGGUAUAUUUAAACAAAUACUAGUGAAAAUCCUAGUAAUUAAUCGUGCAAUCUUUUUACCCAUUUUAGAAAUAAAAAUUAAAGAA